UACGAAGGGGGCUAGCGUUGCUCGGAAUCACUGGGCGUAAAGCGCACGUAGGCGGCUUUUUAAGUCAGGGGUGAAAUCCUGGAGCUCAACUCCAGAACUGCCUUUGAUACUGAGAAGCUUGAGUCCGGGAGAGGUGAGUGGAACUGCGAGUGUAGAGGUGAAAUUCGUAGAUAUUCGCAAGAACACCAGUGGCGAAGGCGGCUCACUGGCCCGGUACUGACGCUGAGGUGCGAAAGCGUGGGGAGCAACAG
rnacentral:rRNA from 1 species